UACAUAGGGUCCGAGCGUUGUCCGGAAUUACUGGGCGUAAAGAGCUCGUAGGUGGUUUGUCGCGUUGUUCGUGAAAACUCACAGCUCAACUGUGGGCGUGCGGGCGAUACGGGCAGACUUGAGUACUGCAGGGGAGACUGGAAUUCCUGGUGUAGCGGUGGAAUGCGCAGAUAUCAGGAGGAACACCGGUGGCGAAGGCGGGUCUCUGGGCAGUAACUGACGCUGAGGAGCGAAAGCGUGGGGAGCGAACAGG
rnacentral:rRNA from 1 species